UGGGGAAUUUUGGACAAUGGGCGCAAGCCUGAUCCAGCAAUGCCGCGUGAGUGAAGAAGGCCUUCGGGUUGUAAAGCUCUUUUGUCAGGGAAGAAACGGGAGAGGCUAAUAUCUUUUCCUAAUGACGGUACCUGAAGAAUAAGCACCGGCUAACUACGUGCCAGCAGCCGCGGUAAUACGUAGGGUGCAAGCGUUAAUCGGAAUUACUGGGCGUAAAGCGUGCGCAGGCGGUUUUGUAAGUCUGACGUGAAAUCCCCGGGCUCAACCUGGGAAUUGCGUUGGAGACUGCAAGGCUGGAGUCUGGCAGAGGGGGGUAGAAUUCCACGUGUAGCAGUGAAAUGCGUAGAGAUGUGGAGGAACACCGAUGGCGAAGGCAGCCCCCUGGGUCAAGACUGACGCU
rnacentral:rRNA from 1 species